CCUACGGGUGGCAGCAGUGAGGAAUAUUGGUCAAUGGGCGCGAGCCUGAACCAGCCAAGUCGCGUGAGGGAUGACUGCCCUACGGAUUGUCAACUUCUUUUAUCAGGGAGUAAAGUGAGGCCCGUGUGCCUUUUUGUAUGUACUUUGUGAAUAAGGAUCGGCUAACUCCGUGCCAGCAGCCGCGGUAAUACGGAGGAUCCGAGCGUUAUCCGGAUUUAUUGGGUUUAAAGGGAGCGUAGAUGGGUUGUUAAGUCAGUUGUGAAAGUUUGCGGCUCAACCGUAAAAUUGCAAUUGAUACUGGCAGUCUUGAGUACAGUUGAGGUAUGCGGAAUUCGUGGUGUAGCGGUGAAAUGCUUAGAUAUCACGAAGAACUCCGAUUGCGAAGGCAGCUUACUAACCUGCCACUGACAUUGAUGCUCGAAAGUGUGGGUAUCAAACAGGAUUAGAUACCCGAGUAGUC
rnacentral:rRNA from 1 species